rnacentral:misc_RNA from 1 species
UUGAGAUAGAAAAGAAGUCAUUGGAAUUAAGCAUGUGGGAUUCUGUCGGAAGCUCCGAAGUGAAAUUGUAUAACAAUUCAACUAAUACAGAAAGUAGAGGACCAGUAAAGGUGUUGUUUGAAAGGGGGAUGAUCAGCAUAUAUCUUCCGGGGAGCAAGGUUCCUAAUUGGUUUUGUUACAAGAGUGCUGGAGCAACUCUAUCUUUCGCUGUCCCUUCACCUCCUGAUCUCAAGAUCCAGGGCAUAACUGUGUGCUCAGUGUACACAAUUGA